GAUGAACGCUAGCUACAGGCUUAACACAUGCAAGUCGAGGGGCAGCAUAAAUCUAGCAAUAGAUUUGAUGGCGACCGGCGCACGGGUGAGUAACACGUAUCCAACCUACCUAUUACUCGGGUAUAGCCUUUCGAAAGAAAGAUUAAUCCCCGAUACGAUAUUGAGUUCGCAUGAAUUUGAUAUGAAAGAUUUAUUGGUAUUAGAUGGGGAUGCGUUCCAUUAGAUUGUUGGUGAGGUAACGGCUCACCAAGACUUCGAUGGAUAGGGGUUCUGAGAGGAAGGUCCCCCACACUGGAACUGAGACACGGUCCAGACUCCUACGGGAGGCAGCAGUGAGGAAUAUUGGUCAAUGGGCAAGAGCCUGAACCAGCCAAGUAGCGUGAGGGAUGACUGCCCUAUGGGUUGUAAACCUCUUUUAUAAGGGAAUAAAACGCUCCACGAGUGGAGCUUUGCAUGUACCUUUUGAAUAAGGAUCGGCUAACUCCGUGCCAGCCGCCGCUGUAA
rnacentral:rRNA from 1 species